GACGAACGCUGGCGGCGUGCUUAACACAUGCAAGUCGAACGGAAAGGCCCUGCUUUUGUGUGGUGCUCGAGUGGCGAACGGGUGAGUAACACGUGAGUAACCUGCCCUUGACUUUGGGAUAACUUCAGGAAACUGGGGCUAAUACCGGAUAGGAGAUCCUGCUGCAUGGUGGGGGUUGGAAAGGUUCGUCGGUUGGGGAUGGACUCGCGGCUUAUCAGCUUGUUGGUGGGGUAGGGGCUUACCAAGGCUUUGACGGGUAGCCGGCCUGAGAGGGUGACCGGCCACAUUGGGACUGAGAUACGGCCCAGACUCCUACGGGAGGCAGCAGUGGGGAAUAUUGCACAAUGGGCGGAAGCCUGAUGCAGCAACGCCGCGUGCGGGAUGACGGCCUUCGGGUUGUAAACCGCUUUCGCCUGUGACGAAGCGUGAGUGACGGUAAUGGGUAAAGAAGCACCGGCUAACUACGUG
rnacentral:rRNA from 1 species